rnacentral:rRNA from 1 species
AUCUAUGGUCAUAACACAGUGAAUGUUCCCGAUCUAGUAUGAUCUUGGAACUUAAACAGAGUUGGGUCUGGUUAGCACUUGAUGAGAGAAAUAAAACAACCUCCAAAUCUGAACUGUACAUC